rnacentral:rRNA from 1 species
GCACAAGCGGUGGAGCAUGUGGUUUAAUUCGACGCAACGCGCAGAACCUUACCAGCCCUUGACAUGUCCAGGACCGGCACCAGAGAUGGAGCCUUCUCUUCGGAGCCUGGAGCACAGGUGCUGCAUGGCUGUCGUUAGCUCGUGUCGUGAGAUGUUGGGUUAAGUCCCGCAACGAGCGCAACCCCCGUCUUUAGUUGCUACCAUUUAGUUGAGCACUCUAAAGAGACUGCCGGUGAUAAGCCGCGAGGAAGGUGGGGAUGACGUCAAGUCCUCAUGGCCCUUACGGGCUGGGCUACACACGUGCUACAAUGGCGGUGACAAUGGGAUGCUAAGGGGCGACCCCUCGCAAAUCUCAAAAAGCCGUCUCAGUUCGGAUUGGGCUCUGCAACUCGAGCCCAUGAAGUUGGAAUCGCUAGUAAUCGUGGAUCAGCAUGCCACGGUGAAUACGUUCCCGGGC